UGGCAGGAAAGGACACAUUAAACGUAACUGCAAGUGUCCUCCUAAAAAUAGAAAACCCCAGGAUUCUAAUGAUAACUCCCAUGACAGCCAACCACCUCCCCACCCCCAAUAGGAAAUUGGCAAACCAGUGUCCCUACAUAUUAUAAAUAUCCCUGACUCUGCAGGACCCUCACCCAUUAUUAAUGUUACACUGCCCGGGGAACGAAUAGUCCCUUUCCUGUUGGACACUGGCGCUGCUAAACAAAUGUUACAGGAAAAAUGUGUUCCCGUAUGAGAAAUCUAAUGAUGUAUUAUCAUGUGUAGGGGUGGAUGGUAUCGAAAAUGACAUUCCCCUUACCCACAAGCUGAAAUUGAAGCUACACGACUCUACUGCCCUUGUAACCACUACUUGUCAGCCCUCAUGCCCCUGCUAAUCUACUAGGCAGUGAUAUACUGUCUGCUCUUAGUGCAAAUAUCCAGUAUAGCCCCACUGGACAAGUAACAUUGUCUGUGCCUUUGGAGGACAAACAAAUGAUAUCUCUUUCAAAUGUUCUGGCAACUCUCACUAUGCCCAGCCAUGUGCCAGAACCUACCAUUGACUUGUCCUCAGUGCCUGAUUCCUUAUGGGCUACAGGGAAGACAGAUACAGACAGACUCUCUGUGCCCCCAGUCAAAGUGAAUCUCCUGCCCGGAGCCAAACCUCCCUAUCAGAAACAAUACCCCCUAAGCCCAGCACAGGAAGAUGCUAUUUUGCAAUCUGUUCAAGAGUUUCUGCAGGCAGGGUUAGUUGUCCAGACCACCUCCCCUUGUAACACACCAUUGUACCCAAUUAAGAAAAAGCAAGAGAAAGGGAAACCUGUGGUCUACCGUAUGGUAC